rnacentral:rRNA from 1 species
GAACGCGGUCCAUCCGGUGGCAACACCGGUGAAGACUGAGUGGCGAACGGGUGAGUAACACGUGAGCAACCUGCCCCGAAGACCGGGAUAAGCCUGGGAAACCGGGUAUAAUACCGGAUGCCCCCACCGGGCCGCAUGGCCUGGUGAGGAAAGGUGUUCCGCUUCGGGAGGGGCUCGCGGCCUAUCAGCUUGUUGGUGGGGUAACGGCCCACCAAGGCGUCGACGGGUAGCUGGUCUGAGAGGACGAUCAGCCACACUGGGACUGAGACACGGCCCAGACUCCUACGGGAGGCUGCAGUGGGGAAUCUUGCGCAAUGGGCGAAAGCCUGACGCAGCAACGCCGCGUGAGGGAUGAAGGCCUUACGGGUUGUAAACCUCUUUCAGCAGGGACGAUUGUGACGGUUAUUAGCAGAAGAAGCCCCGGCCAUCUAGGUGCCAGCAGCCGCGGU